rnacentral:rRNA from 1 species
ACGGGGGGAGCAAGCGUUGUUCGGAUUUACUGGGCGUAAAGCGUGCGCAGGCGGUUGUGCAAGACAGGUGUGAAAUCCCCGGGCUUAACCUGGGAACUGCACUUGUGACUGCACAGCUGGAGUGCGGCAGAGGGGGAUGGAAUUCCGCGUGUAGCAGUGAAAUGCGUAGAUAUGCGGAGGAACACCGAUGGCGAAGGCAAUCCCCUGGGCCUGC